AAGAAUGAUGUGCAAAUGGAAAUGUCCCUAUAUGGCACAGGCUGAAUUCUGGAACGACACUGCAUACCUCGUUGCCUGCUGGUUGAGGAUUUGGUGUCCCGGCCUCUUCUCCGUGGCCAGAGCAAACAUCGGAACGGCCAGAAAAGCUGGUUCCCUCCAUCCCCGCGAUCAUAUUCGAAACAGAAAAGGUCCAUAUUGGAAAUUUUUGAGGAAUCCCCAGACCCUUCAGAGAUGGAUGGAUGAAAGGGACUCACCAAAGCCCCAAACCACCUACAAAACCAAACAAAUCUACCAAAUUCUCCAUGAAAACUGGAGGGUCAUUUAGCUACCAGAAAAAAAUUAGAACAAUUGUAUAGAAGCAUAAUGUGGAAGCACUGCAUUUUUUUCCUGUGAGAUCACCCUGUUGAGUGGAAUAUGCUUUAAAGGGAAUAUAAUGCCAUACACAUAUAGUCUUUACAUGUGAAACAG
ensembl:lncRNA